CUGGUAAAAAGGUGGACUGGAGAGAGACCAUGCAGAAGAUACUGAACAAAACUAAGGCCUCUGUGUCUGAUGUUUCUCAGCAGAUACAGGACACUUGGAAACAGGUGAAAAAUAUGUCUGGAGAUCUCUGGAAAAAGAAUGAACCUGUUCUCACCAAGCUUAAGACAAAUUUGGUCUCAAAAGUGGAAGAAGCAGCUCAAAAGAUCACAUCAAAACUGGAGGAAAAAGACCAAGCAUUGGUUCAACAAAAGAAGAAAACAAAAGGAAAAUGACCCCAAACACAUGAAGCAUGACCCAAAAAAGGAACACAGACAUAGAAACAACCACUGGAAAAAUCAGGAUAAAGAAGAAAAGUAUCCAAAACACAGACAAAAUGAUGACAUGUAUAGAGAAAAGAGGGAAAAACAUGAGAAGAGGAAGACAUCCAAGUAUUACAAGGCCAAGACAGGAAGACGGUCAUAUGAAGAGGAAGAGGAUCACAAACCCUGGAAUAGACAACAACGAAGGGCAGAAAAACUAGAGAAAAGAAGAUCCAAUAAAUUCAACAAGAUGAAGGGAAGAUUUCAACAAAUGCACGAAUAUCGGUUUUGUCAGAUGAACAUGAAAAAGAGGCACAAAUUCUUCAACAUCCUGGAUGACUUUGAUGAACGAUUCAAUGCGGACAGGUUGUUGGAUCCUGAUCACAAGUGGUACAGCUGUCAGUGGGAUUGGUGGUGGAAUGCCAUCUCCUUCCAUCUCAACACUUUCAUGUUGAUGGAUCCAAGUUGCCAGGGAACCCUAUUGCCAUGGCAGGAGGGGAUCUUGGAGUCUGGGAGAUGGGAAUGUCCAGGGUUUCCUCAGAAUCUGAAGAGACAAAGCAAUGAUGAAGAUGAUGAUGAAGAUGAUGAUGAAGAUGAUGAGAAAGAUCAUGAUAAAAUGGAAAAAGUUUACAGAAAGCACUUUAAGAACAUGCCUUACUUUGGUGAUUCUGAGCCUUUACCGAACAGCAACUACACAGAGGAGUUCAAAGGCUGCGAUCCAACCAAAGGAAUAUGCGAUUUCAACAAGAAUGACUCCUGGUACCUGAUGAAAAUGAAGUUCCGUCAGUAUCAGAGAUUCAUGGAUGCCAAGGAAAAGGGAAAGACUGAAUGGAUGUUUUCCAGGGCCAGUCACAGGCGAGAUGAAAGGGAGAAAACUGACUGUAAUCGUGGAGUACAUGGCGCCCAUGUAUGUGGGAUAGAAUGUAUUUAAUGCAAGUUGUAUAUUGGGUUGGACCACCAGUAAAUUCAGUCAAUUUAAUUUAAAUCAAAUUAAAGAUUCUUUGCAAGUGCAUUUCUAAAUAAAGCUGUUAGUUAUACAAUGGUCAAUGAAAUUGAAUUGGGGAAAUAAUAAUAGAUGAAUAUUAGUACUGAAUUAUAAGAACAGGAUAUUUUAUAAAGGAUUAUGUGUUGGUGAUGGUUUGUUAUUACAUGUUUUUAAAUCUACAUGUAACGUUACUCGUUAUUGUAUGUGCUUGUUUUCCCCAGAUGUACCGGUAUUUGAUUUUACUUUUGGUUUCGUCAAGAAAAUCAGAUAACAUGAACACUUCACAACUACCUUUGUUAUGAGAGUGGCAAAUAUUUAAAACAAAUUGUGACAGUGUACAAUUUGAUUCUAUAUAUAUAUAAGCUAUCAAUCUUUCAUCUGUAGUUUCUAGUCAAUUGAUUUUAUCUUAUAAUAUUUUUUAAUAAAGCCUAAAUAGAUUGUACACAUACCUGAUAUAUUUUGUCCAAGAGGCCAGAUGAACCGUAUUAAUACAUGAUAUUAGUUGAAAUGUAUUUAUAAUUUUUUUUUCAAUGCAUUUGAAGUCUAUGUAUGCACCAUCAUUUGUAGGUUGGUUGAGAGAUUCAAACUCCAGAUUACUUACUGCACCAUCAUGUCUAUUUGCAAUAAUGUUGAAGAAUAUUUUUUAUUAUUUUGUCUGAAGUUACGGAAUUAUUGAAGUCUCUAUUAUGAGCAAUUUUGGGGGAAAAUUUUAUCCCCAAACUUCUUUAAAAUAUGUGUAGAUUGCUUAAUAUGGUGCAAGGUUUGGCUUACACAAGUUAAAGAAACAUGGAAUGGGCUUCUCUUCACUGGCAAGUGCUUGUUUUGCUCACAAAAAGUGCUUUUGUUUGUGAUAUUGGAUUUAUAUACAUUUACAAUGACUGUUUUCAGUAUAAAGAUAUUCACAUGCAUUUAUAUCUGAUAGAGAUUAAAAUAAAUCAACACUUUUAAAA
rnacentral:misc_RNA from 1 species